rnacentral:rRNA from 1 species
GUCGAACGAUGAAACCGCUUCGGUGGUGGAUUAGUGGCGAACGGGUGAGUAACACGUGGGCAAUCUGCCCUUCACUCUGGGACAAGCCCUGGAAACGGGGUCUAAUACCGGAUAACACUCUGUCCCGCAUGGGACGGGGUUGAAAGCUCCGGCGGAGAAGGAUGACCCCGCGGCCUAUCAUCUUGUUGGGGGGGUAAUGGUCUACCAAGGAGACGACGGGUACCCGGCCUGAGAGGGCGACCGGCCACACUGGGACUGAGACACGGCCCAAACUCCUACGGGAGGCAGCAGGGGGAAAUAUUGCACAGUGGGCGAAAGCCUGAUGCAGCGACCCCGCGUGAGGGAUGACGGCCUUCGGGUUGUAAACCUCUUUCAGCAGGGAAGAAGCGAAAGUGACGGUACCUGCAAAAGAAGCGCCGGCUAACUACGUGCCAGCAGCCGCGGUAAUACGUAGGGCGCAAGCGUUGUCCGGAAUUAUUGGGCGUAAAGAGCUCGUACGCGGCUUGUCACGUCAGAUGUGAAAGCCCGGGGCUUAACCCCGGGUCUGCAUUCUAUACGGGCUAUCUAGAGUGUGGUAGGAGAGAUCGGAAUUCCUGGUGUAGCGGUGAAAUGCGCAGAUAUCAAGAGGAACACCGGUGGCGAAGGCGGAUCUCUGGGCCAUUACUGACUCUGAAGAGCGAGAGCGUGGGGAGCGAACAGGAAUAGAUACCCUGAUAGUCCACGCCAUACACUGUGAGAACUAUGUGUUGGCGACAUUACACGUCGUCGGUGCCGCAGCUAACGCAUUAAGUUCCCCGCCUGGAGAGUACGGCCGCAGGGCUAAAACUCAGAGGAUGUGACGGGG